UACGGAGGGGACUAGCGUUGUUCGGAAUUACUGGCGUAAAGCGCACGUAGGCGGAUUUGUAAGUCAGGGGUGAAAUCCCGGGGCUCAACCUCGGAACUGCCUUUGAUACUGCAAAUCUCGAGUCCGGAAGAGGUGAGUGGAAUUCCUAGUGUAGAGGUGAAAUUCGUAGAUAUUAGGAAGAACACCAGUGGCGAAGGCGGCUCACUGGUCCGGUACUGACGCUGAGACACGAAAGCCAGGGGAGCAAACGGG
rnacentral:rRNA from 1 species